UAAAGGUGUACUUAUUAUUGUCAAAAUUUAGUUUUGUUUAUUAAACGGUUAUUAUUAUUGCUACACAAUUAUUUUAUAAAAUGUCCUGUCAUAUAAAUGUGUUGUAUUUAUUAGUUUGAUUGAACCAUUUUAUUAGCUCAUCUAUUUUUUGAAAAAAAAUUAUGAGCUGUUGUCAUCACCUUGGCGUCGGCGUCUGGUUAAGUUUUGCGUUUAGGUACACUUUUCUCAUAAAGUAUCAAUGCUAUUGCAUUCAAACUUGGUACACUUACUUACUAUCAUGAGGGGACUGGGCGGGCAAAGUAAGAUAAUUCUGGCUUGCAUUUUGACAGAAUUAUGUGCCCUUUUUAUACUUAGAAAUUUGAAAAUUUUGGUUAAGUUUUGUGUUUAGGUCCAUUUUAUUCCUUAAGUAUCAAAGCUAUUGCUUUCAUACUUGCAACACUUACUAACUAUCAUAAGGGGACUGUGCAGGCAAAGUUAUGUAACUCUGACUGGCAUUUUGACAGAAUAAUGUGCCCUUUUAAUACUUAGAAAAUUGAAAAUUUGGUUAAGUUUUGUGUUUAGGUCCACUUUUUUCAGAAAGUAUCAAAGCCAUUGCUUUCAUACUUGCAACACUUACUAACUAUCGUAAGGGGACUGUGCAGGCAAAGUUAUGUAACUCUGACUGGCAUUUUGAGGGAAUUAUGUGCCCUUUUUAUACUAAAAAAAUGAAAAUUUGGUUAAGUUUUGUGUUUAGGUCCACUUUUUUUCCUAAAGUAUCAAAGCCAUUGCUUUCAUACUUGCAACACUUACUAACUGUCGUAAGGGGACUGUGCAGGCAAAGUUAUGUAACUCUGACUGGCAUUUUGACAGAAUUAUGGGCCCUUUAUACUUUAAAAUUUGGUUAAGUUUUGUGUUUUGGUCCACUUUACCCUUAAAGUAUCAUAGAUAUUGCUUUCAUACUUGGAACACUCGCAAACUAUCAGAAGGGAACAGUAAAGGACAAGUUGCAUAACUCUGGUUGUCAUUUUUAGGGAAUUGUGGCCCUUUUUUGACUUAGUAACUUUGAAUAUAUGGUUACAUUUUUUGUGUUUAGAUCCACUUUACUUCUAAAGUAUCAAGGCUAUUGCUUUUAAACCUUAAAUACUUUCAUGCUAUCAUGAGGGUACUGUACCUGGCAAGUUGAAUUUUACCUUGACCUUUGAAUGACCUUGACUCUCAAGGUCAAAUUAUUAAAUUUUGCUAAAAUUGCCAUAUCUUCUUUAUUUAUGAUUAGAUUCGAUUGAUACUUUGACAAAACAACUCUUACCUGACAUACCACAAUUGACUCCGUCCAAACCAUCCCCCCCCCCCCCCGAACCCCCCCUCAAUCCCCAAUUAUUUUAUUUUUUAAUUAAAGACCACCACACCCUCACACUAUACCCCCCCACCCCCACCCCAAAAAAAUAAUUUUUAUGCCCCCAGUAGGGUGGCAUAUAGCAGUUGAACUGUCCGUCAGUAUGUCAGUCAGUCUGUCUGUCAGUCAGAAAAAAACUUUAACAUUGGCCAUAACUUUUUCAAUUUUUAAUAUAGCAACUUGAUAUUUGGCAUGCAUGUGUAUCUCAUGAAGCUGCACAUUUUGAGUGGUGAAAAGUCAAGGUCAAGGUCAUCCUUCAAGGUCAAAUGUCAAAUUUAUGGUGUCUGUCUGUCUGAAAACUUAAACAUUGGCCAUAACUUUUUCAAUAUUGAAGUUAAUGAUAUUUGGCAUGCAUGUGUAUCUCAUGGAGCUGAACAUUUUGAGUGGUGAAAGGUAAAGGUGAAUUUCAUCCUUCAAGGUCAAAUGUCAUAUAUAUGGCGUCUGUCCGUCCGAAAACUUUAACAUUGGCCAUAACUUUUUAAAUAUUGAAGAAUAUAAGCAACUUGAUAUUUGGCAUGCAUUUGUAUCUCAUGAAGCUGCACAUUUUGAGUGGUGGAAGUUCAAGGCCAAGGUCAUCCUUCAAGGUAAAAAAAAAUUAAUAAUUCAAAGCGGCCUUUUCGUGAAGCUGCACAUUUUUAGUGGUGGAAGUUCAAGGUCAUCCUUCAAGGUAAAGGUUAUCCUUCAAGGUCAAAGGUCAAAAAACUAAAAAAAAAUUUCAAAGCGGCAUUAUCAUGAAGCUGCACAUUUUGAGUGGUGGAAGUUCAAGGUCAAUGUCAUUCUUCAAGGUCAAGGUCAUCCUUCAAGGUCAAAGGUCAAAAAUAAUAAUUCAAAGCAGCGUUAUCAUGAAGCUGCACAUUUUGAGUGGUGUAGGUUCAAGGUCAAGGUCAUUCUUCAAGGUCAAGGUCAUCAUUCUAGGUCAAAGGUCAAACAAAAUUUUAAAAAAAUCAAAGCGGUGUUAACAGGAAGCUGCACAUUUUGAGUGGUGGAAGUUCAAGGUCAUCCUUCAAGGUAAAAAAAAUAAAAAAAUUCAAAGCUGCACUCUCAUGAAGCUGCACAUUUUGAGAAGUGGAAGUUCAAGGUCAAGGUCGUCCUCCAAGGUCAAAGGUCAAAAAAAACAACAAAGCAGAGUUCUCAUGAAGCUGCACAUUUUGAGUGGAUGAAGUUCAAGGUCAUUCUUCAAGGUCAAAGGUAAAAAAAAAAAUAUUUCAAAGCGGCCUUCUCAGAAAAGCUGCACAUUUUGAGUGGUGGAAGUUCAAGGUCAAGGUCAUCCUUCAAGGUCAAAUGUAAAAAAAUAAUAAUAAAAAUUUCAAAGCGGCACAAUAGGGGGCAUUGUGUUUCUUACAAACACAUCACUUGUUUUUUUCAAACAUGGUUAAAACACAAAUAUUUAUUUUUAUUAUUUUAUUUUUGAAAUACCGUCCAACCAUCCCACACAAGAAUCCCCCCCCCCCCCCAAUUUUUUUUUUUUGCGUUUUUGGAAGAUAAUGUAAUAAAUGACCACACCCCCACACUAUACACCCCUCUCCACUCCACACCUCCCUCCUUUGUGAUUGAAAUUGAGAUAGGUCCCUACACCUUUAAAAAGAAAAAUAGAUGAGCGGUCUGCACCCGCAAGGCAAUGCUCUUGUUUAUAUUUGCACGAUUAAUAUUUUAAGUACAGUUACUUGUUUUAAAUCACUGAAUAUUACUGUUAGUUUCUGAAGAGUUCAAUACAUAUCAUUUUUUUUUGUUUUGGAACAGAGUUACUUUUUAACAAAAUAUACAUAAAUUUAAAAUUAUAUAUAAGUGUCCUUUAUUACAACUUAAAAUAUUGUAUAUUGGAAAUGUUUAAAUAUGAAUAUAUGAUACAUAUUGUACACAUAAUUAAAUUCUAUGUCGUUGAAAAAUGUGCUAUAAUCUGUUAUAGGGAAUAGUUUAAAUGUUGCAUUUUAUAUUGUUUGUUUUACAAAAAUCUUUUACACUUUGAAGUCCCUCAGCUAGUGGCUGUGUUUUAGUUUUGUAUGAACUGAUCAUUGUAUUUUAAAAUGUUUAUCAACCCUCUUUAUGUAAUGGUUAUCCAUGAAUGUUUUUCUUCUGCAUAUUAUGUUUAGCUUACCUGAGCAGAAAGUGAUUCUAGUGAGCUAUUGUGUCACCUGUGUCAUCAACAUUUAGCUCGUUUCUGUACCAGAAGCCACUUUUUUUAUCUGAUCGCGAUGAAACAUACUCAGAAUGUUUAUUUAGACAAACUUUGGGUCACAUGCUUCCAUAAACUAGGUCACUAGGUCAAAUCUUAGAAAACCUUUAUAAUCACUUUAGGGGCCACAUGUAUGACUCAAUCUUAAUGAAUCUUGGUCAGAAUGUUUAUCUUGACAGUAUAAAGGCGGAGUUUGAAUAGGGUCAUGUGAAUAAAAACAACAAGGCCAGGAGGUCAAGUCUUAGAAAUAUCAUGUUAUCACUGUAGAGGGCACAUGUAUAGCUCAAUCUUAAUGAUACUUGCUUAUGUUGACUAAAUCUCGGCCAAGUUUGAAUUUAUGUCAAAACUAUUUAAAAACUAGUUUGCCAUGUCAUAUGUAAAAAAACUCAUUAUAAAUCUAGAAGCUGCAUUUAUGACAAAAUCUUGAUGGAACUUGGCAAGAAUUUUUAUCUUGAAAUAUCUAGGCCAAAUUUGAAUCUGGGUCAUGCCUGUCCGAAAACUAGGUCAAGAGGCCACAUGUAUGACUCAGUCUUUAUUAAAUUUAGUUAGAAUGUUAUUUUUGACAUAUGUAGACACUGUUUGAAUCUGGGUCAUGUGUGUCCAAAAACUAGGUAACCAUGCCAAUAUUUGAAGCUUGGUUUACCUUGAACUCGGAUGAGUGCUACUAUUAGCUUUUAAUAUGCAUUAUUUAUUCAACAGAUUUUAUGUUACCAAUGGCUUAAACCUUUUUAUUGAUGUUAACUGGGCUUGUUUAAAAGUGGAAAAGUUGCAACUACAUGACUAUAUUUGUUUGUUAUAUUAGAUGAUCCCAAAUUAUAUAGUAGUGGUUAUAGUUUCAGCUCACCUUGGAUAGAAUUGACUGUGAUAUGUAUUGGCUCAACUUCAUUCAAGUGGCCUUGGUAGAUAUAAUAGUCUGUGUACCAGACUUUUAUUUUAGGAUUUCAAAACCAACCAUAAGCCUUCUUAUGUGCCUAAUGUUGAAACUUUGGUAGACCUUUUGUCCAAUAAUGUCACUACCCACAUUCAAUGGUGCCACAAAGGGUCAAGAAAGCUGGGCAGAAUCAGAUUUAUUACACAAACAUAACAAAAAAAGAUCAAAUCAAUAUUUUGGCCCUCUUGGUUAUUAUUUCUCCAUGAAAAUAUCACUUAACAAUUAUUUCAUAUUGCUCAAAGAUUCAGUAAUUUACCAUCAUCUAAAUAAACAAAUAUUGCUGUAUUUUUUCAUUGAAACUUUUUAUGGAAACUAUCACUUAAUGUACAUUUAUAUUCUUUAAUGAGCCUUCAAAACGCUGGUCACUUGAAUAUAACCAAAGGUAGCUGUGGUUAGAUACGAACAAUAAUGUCCAUCACUGUGUUGUGUUAUAUAUGAUCUCAUGUUGUCAUACACUUGCAGAAAAAAAAUCAGUUUAUUAUCACAUAAACUCUACUUUUUUAACAGUGUCUAGUAAACAUUUCACAAUUGCAGCAUUUGUACACAUCUAAUUAUUGUAGUGGAAAAUUUGUUUAAACAGUAUCACUUUUGUUAUUGUUUUCUUACGCAGAAACUUAAGAUCCUCUUGUAAUCUAAAAAUAUAGUAAACCAACUUUUUUUAUGCCAUAAUUGAAAAAGUGAUCCUUCUAUUUUUUCCUGAUGCAAAAAAAAGAUUAUCUUUAGCUAUAAAGUAAACAAAUAUAUGCCGCAUCUUAAUUAUACUAUGCCUCUUGGAUAAUAUAUUGUAUUAUCCGUUAAGUUAGUGUGUUAUACAUGGUUUAUUUUAUAAUAUUUACCUAUAUUGUUUGUCUGUGAUAAUACAUUGUUAUCAUAUAUACAUAUUUUUCACAUUUUAAUCUUGUAAUGUAUAGUAUGUUUGAGUUGUGUAUUUAUUGUCAGUUCUUGUAAGAAAUCCAUCAUUGUAUGAAUACUUUUUAUUUAUAUAUCACUAUUUUUAUUAUUUCUUAAUUGAUCUUGUUGAGUCUCUCAAAAUAUGUAGUUGCUUUACUAUUGUUCAAUAAAUUUGCUUAUUAAACAAGUCUUAUCAA